AAAAUUGUUUUGGUCCCAGAUAUAUUAUUGCUUUUAGCUAGAAAUAUACAUGCCAGCUUCCCCGCCCCAGUGAAAACGCCCACUUUUGACUUUCCCCACAUGUGGGGCCGGUAUCAGGCACGGUUUUUACCAGCCCAAAACACCUAGCCAAGCCACACCCCCACUGGAUUUCAGCAGUAAAAAACACUAAGCACUAAGCAAACGCUUGACUUGGUAAUAGCUACCCUGGGCUGGUAAACCCCGUGCCAGCCACCGCGGUUACACGAGGAGCCCAAAACAAUGAAUAUCGGCGUAAAGCGUGACUAGAGAAGGAGUUUGUUUUAAGGGCCAAAGAACUAUGAUAAAGCUGUAAAACGCUCUAUAUAAUUAGAAAUCACCUCAACCCUGGUCACGACUAACCUUGACCUCACGAAAACUAAGAUCCAAACUAGGAUUAGAUACCCUACUAUGCUUAGUCGUAAACUAACGAAACUCUUUCGCCCGCCAGAAAAUUACAAGCAACCAGCUUAAAACUCAAAAAACUUGACAGUAUUUCACAUCGACCUAGAGGAGCCUGUCCUAUAACCGAUAACCCACGAUCAACCUCACCCACCUUUGCAACAACAGUCUAUAUACCUCCGUCGCCAGCCCGCCUGAAAACAGAAACAAAGCGAGCACAAUAGCUAUUCACUAGGACGACAGGUCAAGGUGUAACUUAUAGGUUGGGCAGAGAUGGGCUACAUUUCCUAAUAUAGAAAAUACCUACCCCGCUAUGAAACUUGCGUAAAAAGGUGGAUUUAGCAGUAAGUCAGGCAAGAAAAGCCUGCCUGAAAGCCGCCCUGAAAUGUGU
rnacentral:ncRNA from 1 species